rnacentral:lncRNA from 10 species
UGGGCCAUGGGUAACAAUUAAAUCAGAACAUAGAAAACAAUUAAAGGCCAAUUGUAAGAUGUCAAAGAACUUUGAAUUUCAGAUUUUCAAUAGGUUGAAUAUAGUUAUCAAGGAUGCAUCGUUUUAACAUUCCUUCAUGUCUACCAUUACGUCAAUAAGAAAAUCAGUUGUGUAAAAAAUCUACUUAAUGAUACAAGGAGUUUCUAUCUGGAAAAACAAUUCUAAAAAUUUUCAGGAAAUUAGAAAUAAAAUGCCUGAAAUAACUGAAAUAAUAAUAAUUUUGGACUACAGCUCUUUAAAAUAAAACUGUAGCUAAUAAAUUAUUAUCUACUCACUCAAAAUAAGUUUCAAGAAAGGAUAAAAUAUACCUGAAAAUUAGAGUUGAAAAUAUUUAUUUCUUGUAAACCUGUGAUUGCCAGUAAUAAGUUUUUGUUUUCCCAAAAAAAGAAAAAAACAAACCUUUUGUGAAUUAUUAGAAAUUUACCAAAGGUUAAAGGAGAAGAAAGAGCUCUAAUGAUGAGCUCAAUUUGACUUCUAUGAAAAUAUCCAAAGUUCUAUAAUCAAUCAUAGCAUAUCUAUUUAUUUACUAAUGCUGUGUAGCAAAUUACCACAAAACACAGUGGCUUAAAGUAACCACAGUCAUUUUUUAUCUCUCUUGGAUUCUGUGGGCCAUCAAUUCAAGAGCAGCUUGAUUUUAUGAUUCUGGCUCUGAGUUUCUCACGGAGCUGAGUCAGAUUUCAACUGGAGCUGCCAUCAUCCGAAGGCUUGAUGGGGGCUGGAGAAUCCAAUUCCAAGAUGGCUCACUCAUAUGCCUGGCAGGCCAGUUUUGGCAAGUCUUCUUCUCCCCAUGUGGACUUCACCAUAGGGUUAUUUGAGUGUCCUCACAACCUGAUGCUAGCCUCCCCCAGGGCAAGUGACCCCAGAGAGCAAGGUGAAACCUGAAAUACCUCCUAUGUCCCAGCCCCAGAGUUCACACAUUGUCACUUCUGCCACAUACUAUGAGGCGCAAAAAACCAGCACCAAUUCAGUGUGGGUGGGGAUACAAAAUGGCAUAAGAAAUGAGAAUCAUUAAGGGCCAUCUUGUAGCUAGUUAUUACAGAACACUAUGGACUAAGAUAUCAUGGGUGGGAUCAUCAUUAUCUAAGCAUAUAAGAUAACACACAAUAAUAUAUCUUUUAGUGCAAUGAAUUAACAGCAGCCAAUCUAGUACUUUAUAUUUUCUAUGGCUGUUUUACUAAAAUCAGUGUUGCUAUUUUUUCAUUAAUAAAUAGGUAAACAAAAUAAUGAUAAAAGUAUUUUUGCCAAUCAUAAAAGUAUUUCUACAAAAAAUCAAAAUUCAUUUUAAUAAAAUGUGGCAUGGCCUGUGAUAGAACGGGCAAAAGACCAGGCUAUGCAAAUACAAAGGAGUCUUAGCAAACUUCCUGAAAUAAAUGCCAAUCACUGUAUGCAUAUGAUCACCAUGCACAUGUGUAUGUGUAUACAUAAAUAUAUGUACCUACACCUAUAAUAUAUCUGUAUAUUUUUAUGCAUAUAGUUUGAGGUUUUUGAGGAUUUGAAUUAUUUACAAAAUGAUAUCACUAUUGUUGUAUUACUUAGGAUUAGUUUAUGUUAUACAUAACAAAAAAAUAGACUGGGCGCCGUGGCUUACGCCUGUAAUCCCAGGACUUUAGGAAGCCAAGGUGGGUGGAUCACCUGAGAUCAGGAGUUCAAGAUCAGCCUGGCCAACAUGGCAAAACCUCAUCUCUACUAAAAAUACAAAAAAAUUACCUGGGCGUGGUGGCAGGCACCUGUAAUCCCAGCUGCUCAGAAGG